rnacentral:rRNA from 1 species
UGGGGAAUUUUGGACAAUGGGGGCAACCCUGAUCCAGCCAUGCCGCGUGUGUGAAGAAGGCCUUCGGGUUGUAAAGCACUUUCGGACGGAACGAAAUCGCGCGGGCGAAUAUCCCGCGUGGAUGACGGUACCGUAAGAAGAAGCACCGGCUAACUACGUGCCAGCAGCCGCGGUAAUACGUAGGGUGCGAGCGUUAAUCGGAAUUACUGGGCGUAAAGUGUGCGCAGGCGGCUGAGCAAGUCGAGUGUGAAAGCCCCGGGCUUAACUUGGGAAUUGCGCUCGAAACUACUUGGCUGGAGUGUGGCAGAGGAAGGUGGAAUUCCACGUGUAGCGGUGAAAUGCGUAGAGAUGUGGAGGAACACCAAUGGCGAAGGCAGCCUUCUGGGCCAACACUGACGCUCAUGCACGAAAGCGUGGGGAGCAAACAGGAUUAGAUACCCCUGUAGUCC